GAUGAACGCUGGCGGCGUGCCUAAUACAUGCAAGUCGAGCGAACAGAUGAGGAGCUUGCUCCUCUGACGUUAGCGGCGGACGUGUGAGUAACACGUGUAUAACCUACCUAUAAGACUGGGAUAACUUCGGGAAACCGGAGCUAAUACCGGAUAAUAUAUUGAACCGCAUGGUUCAAUAGUGAAAGACGGUUUUGCUGUCACUUAUAGAUGGAUCCGCGCCGCAUUAUCUAGUUGGUAAGGUAACGGCUUACCAAGGCAACGAUGCGUAGCCGACCUGAGAGGGUGAUCGGCCACACUGGAACUGAGACACGGUCCAGACUCCUACGGGAGGCAGCAGUAGGGAAUCUUCCGCAAAGGGCGAAAGCCUGACGGAGCAACGCAGCGUGAGUGAUGAAGGUCUGCGGAUCGUAAAACUCUGUUAUUAGGGAAGAACAAAUGUGUAAGUAACUAUGCACGUCUUGACGGUACCCAAUCAGAAAGCCACGGCUAACUACGU
rnacentral:rRNA from 1 species